rnacentral:lncRNA from 1 species
GAUUCUAGCCCUACGUGGUAUGAGUUCCAGACUGGAGGUGGAGGGAGGGAUAAGAGCAGCCUCCGUGAAGAUGUGAUUCUUGAUCUGAGACUUGCAGGGUCAGCAGCUACUUGUCCAACAGAUGGGAGAGUGGGAAAAGGGAGAGGAAGGAGAUAAACAGUCCCUCAGGACUCAAGCGGAAUAUUUUUUAGCAUCUUGCACUUUUGGCAGUGGGAGUCCAGAAAUGAACCAGAUGCAUCCUUGGCCAUGGAGGAACACCCAACCUAACUGGAGAGACAAAGGUGGAGAAGGAGAGAUGACUGGGCCUGGUUGUGUCGGCUUUGGGGUCCCACCAUCUUGGAGCCUGUGCUUCUGGUUUGCCUGGGAAUGCAAGGUGUUUGGAGACUGCCCAGGUGAGCGGCCUGGGUGCUGGCAUGACCCUUGCUGCUGA